rnacentral:rRNA from 1 species
GACGAACCGUGCGAACGUUGUUUGGAAUCACUGGGCUUAAAGGGCGCGUAGGCGGGCACUCAAGUCAGUGGUGAAAUCCUCCGGCCCAACCGGAGAAGAGCUGUUGAUACUGGGUGCCUCGAGUGGUGUAGGGGUCCGCGGAACUUCGGGUGGAGCGGUGAAAUGCGUAGAGAUCCGAAGGAACGCCGGUGGCGAAAGCGGCGGACUGGACACCUCCUGACGCUGAGGCGCGAAAGCCAGGGGAGCAAACGGGG